rnacentral:rRNA from 1 species
UGAGGAAUUUUGGUCAAUGGACGCAAGUCUGAACCAGCCAUGCCGCGUGCAGGAUGACGGCCCUACGGGUUGUAAACUGCUUUUGUACGGGAAAAAACCUCCGGUCGUGAAUCGGAGCUGAUGGUACCGUAAGAAUAAGCAUCGGCUAACUCCGUGCCAGCAGCCGCGGUAAUACGGAGGAUGCAAGCGUUAUCCGGAUUCAUUGGGUUUAAAGGGUGCGCAGGCGGAAUGAUAAGUCAGUGGUGAAAUCUCUCGGCUCAACUGAGAAACUGCCAUUGAUACUGUUGUUCUUGAGUACACUUGAAGUGGGCGGAAUGUGUCAUGUAGCGGUGAAAUGCUUAGAUAUGACACAGAACACCAAUCGCGAAGGCAGCUUACCAAGCAAUAACUGACGCUCAUGCACGAAAGCGUGGGGAUCAAACA